AACGAACGCUGGUGGCAGGCAUAACACAUGCAAGUCGAGCGCACCGCAAGGGGAGCGGCAGACGGGUGAGUAACGCGUGGGAAUCUACCCAUCUCUACGGAAUAACGCAUGGAAACGUGUGCUAAUACCGUAUACGUCCUUCGGGAGAAAGAUUUAUCGGAGAUGGAUGAGCCCGCGUUGGAUUAGCGAGUUGGUGGGGUAAAGGCCUACCAAGGCGACGAUCCAUAGCUGGUCUGAGAGGAUGAUCAGCCACACUGGGACUGAGACACGGCCCAGGCUCCUACGGGAAGCAGCAGUGGGGAAGAUUGGACAAUGGGCGCAAGCCUGAUCCAGCCAUGCCGCGUGAGUGAUGAAGGCCCUAGGGUUGUAAAGCGCUUUCACCGGUGAAGAUAAUGACGGUAACCGGAUAAGAAGCCCCGGCUAACUUCGUGCCAGCCGCCGCCGCGGUAA
rnacentral:rRNA from 1 species